GGGAUCCGGUUUCCGGUAGGUGAACCUGCGGAAGGAUCAUUCGA
rnacentral:rRNA from 1 species